AUUGUGAUUUGUGAUAUGUUUUUAAUAAAUGGGAAGUGGUGUUUUUAUUAAGAUGUGUAAUUGUGGAAAUCAUUGAAAAAAUCAAUUGUUUAAUACUUUAAUUUCUUAUGUGCUUGAAUUGGGGCAGCAUUGAUAUUGAUAGUUGAUAGCUUUUAUCGAUAUUUCAUAGCUUUUAUCGCUCAUAAAUUCUUGUAUAUGUCUUGAAUUGAGACAGCCUUGAUAGUUGUUUAUAUGUCUCAUUGAACUCAAAUGUGACAUGAAUUCUUCUAUAUGUUGCCUAAUUGUAUAUUCCAAAACCAUUAAUCUAUCAUUCAAAAUUUUGCCAUUGAAAUUUUAGUGAUUUUGAAUUUAGUCCCAAACAACCUAACAACAUCUCAAUAAAAACAACCAAAUCUUCAAUUUAGUAUCAAGUAUUUCUGUGCAUAUAAUAAAUUAAAAUUUAUUGAUCUUAAAUUUAAAAUCAAGUCAUAAAUAAAUUUAUAUUCAAGUUAGGUGACAACUCAUAAGCCUAUAGACUAGUUGACUCACGAGCAUAUAACAAUUCCAAAAUAAUAGUAAUUAACUUACUUAACUAAGAUAAUAGCAUUUCCUUGCUUUUUAAUAUGGUUGAUUGCUUUUUCGGUUAGAUGGGUAUUGUUUUAGUUACAAGUUAUUUAUGUACUUGUUGCAUUUAGAUUGUUAUGACUUAUUUCUAUAAAGUUUGAACUUAUAGAAUUUACAGAUUUUAUUCAAUGAUAUAACAACUCAUAUUAUUAUUUGUAUUGUUGUUUAUGCUAUGAUAUUUCAAUUUUACAACCUCACUUUCAUCUUAUACUUAAGAAGGAAAUGCAAGUACACACUAUUUUCAAUUUCUCUUAUAUUACAU
rnacentral:misc_RNA from 1 species